CAAUAGCGUAUAUUAGAGUUGUUGCAGUUAAAAAGCUCGUAGUUGGAUUUCUGGUGGGGGUCGCUGGUCCGCUGCGAAAGCGGCGUGUACCGAUGCGUACCUACCGCCAUCCUCGGGGGGACUGCGUGUGGGAUUAGUUUCUCGUGCGUAUGGACGCCCGUCUUUUACUGUGAAAAAAUUAGAGUGUUCAAAGCAGGCUGAGGCCGUUGAAUACAUUAGCAUGGAAUAAUAAGAUAGGACCUUGGCGGUCUAUUUUGUUGGUUUGCACGCCAAGGUAAUGAUUAAUAGGGAUAGUUGGGGGUAUUCGUAUUCAAUUGUCAGAGGUGAAAUUCUUAGAUUUAUGGAAGACGAACUACUGCGAAAGCAUUUACCAAGGAUGUUUUCAUUAA
rnacentral:rRNA from 1 species